UCCGUAGGUGAACCUGCGGAGGGAUCAUUUUUGAGUGUAGCUCGGCCGUUACAAGCUGACGCUGCUUAGCCCUGGCUAGCGAUGCUUGGUGAGUAUUGUUCGUACGCGGACGUGCUCAUUGAGCUACGCUUCGCUUGUUUUUUACUAAACUAGCGUAAGAAAUACCUAACCGCGCUUCGGCGCCCCUUUUUUGUUUGUCAUACCUCGACUAAUGUGCAGAAACUGUAAAUACUAAAAGUAUUACUCUAAACGGUGGAUCACUCGGGUCAUGUAUCGAUGAAGAACGCAGCAAAAUGCGAUAGCUGGCGUGAAAUGCAGAAAUCUGUGAACGUUGAAUUUUCGAACCUAAAUGGGUCAGACAGUUUAUUCUGUCUGAACGUUCGUUUGAAUGCUGGAUAGUUACUAAAGCUAAACACUACUUGUGGUGUAAGGCGUUGCUAUGGCUACUCUGUUGGCGAUUGGGUCGAUGGAUGGCUGAAUUCAUUUGUUGCUUCGGCGACAACCGGUAAGGUGGCUGGCCUGCGUAUGCGGCUAGUGUCUCUGGUGCUUUUCUUGAGGCUCCUAACUGCUUGCUAGUCAAGCCGCCUUCAACCUAUCAGCUUCAAAUCGAGCGAGGCUACCCGCUGAAUUUAAGCAUAUCAAUA
rnacentral:rRNA from 1 species